UUAAAGUAGGCUUUGCUCUAUGUGUUUAUAUAAAUAGCCGCGGUAUACUGACCGUGCAAAGGUAGCAUAGUAAUUUGUCUUUUUAUUGGGGACUGGAAUAAAUGAGUUAACGUCACCAUAACUAUCAUGUGAUUUUCUAAGUAUAACUUAGUAUUUAUGUAAAAAAACAUAAAUAUUUGGGAAGACGACAAGACCCUGUGAAACUUAAACUUUUUAUUUUUUUUUGUAAUUCGGAUACAAGAUUGUAAAAAUGUUUAUGCUGGGGCGGCUUCUAAAAAACACUAGAAAUAAAAACUUUAAAGAAAAUAAAGAACUUAAAAAAAAAAUAGAAAAAGUUACUCCAGGGAUAACAGCAUAAUUUUUUCUUAAAGAUCUUAUUGAAGAAAAAGACUUAUGACCUCGAUGUUGAAUUGAGAAGCCUUGUUUAAGCAAAAAUAAAUAAAGGAAGUCUGUUCGACUUUUAAUUUCUC
rnacentral:rRNA from 1 species